rnacentral:rRNA from 1 species
UUUCGACCUGAGGUCAGGCAAGAACACCCGCUGACCUUAAGCAUAUCAAUAAGCGGAGGAAAAGAAACU